CUGGUCUCAUUUUGCUGGUAGCCAUGCACAAAACGCCGAGGUUCCGGCUGCAGGUUCCCUGGUGGGGCAGUAACGUGCCAUAAGCACCACUUACGGCACUUUACUGGUGAUGGCCUUUGGAGACUGGCUUUUAGCAGUGUAUUCAGGAAGAGAAGUGGGAAAUGACCAUGGAAAUUACGCAGCUUGCGAGCUCCAGCUUCCUUUCAAAUGACUUCGCUACACAAAUUUCACUUUGCAGUAUAUCAAUAUAUAUACAGCAUCUUUCCUUGACGCUUAAAUGGACGCUGUAUUUUUCUUCUGGGAUCUCCAUGCAUAGAAAAACAAACAAAAUCUGCACACUCAGAAUGCUCAGACCUGACUGCCUCCUGCAAAAAUGAGCUAUAGGGUAACCCAAGAGAUAAUCAUCGGAGGAUAACUGCGUGUUAUCCCCAUGCAAAACCCCUAUCUGCAUUCGAAAGGGGGAGCUGCAGAAGCUGCUAACGGUCCAGAAACAUCCUGAGGACACAAAAUUUGCCUUCACAAAACUCCUAAAGAAAGAUAACGGAUGGAAACCUCAAAGAACACAAAACCCGGGUUUUCAGGGUUUUUUAGCUGCACGUGAACGAACCGAAGUACCAGAUAAAGCUCAAUUAUCCUUUAAAGCUUACCUUUUGUUGUCGUAGUUGUUUGUAAGCCACGCAGCUGUUCUCCAGAACACCACCUGCAAGAACCUGCACGCGGAGCGUUCCGUCUUUGCAGCGUCAGUAAGAAUCAAGGGCAAGAGUUUGCUGGGAGUUUCUAACUUUCAAAAUGUUCAAAGAGAGAUUCACCUGAUUGAAAAGCUGCUUUCCCAUUAUUUAGUGCAGAAAACUGAAAAAGAUAUUGUAAUUAAGCUCAGGAGAUCAAUUAGCAUGUUAAACAACCACACGCGAGAUUCAAAACGUUACUCGCGGGUCAGCCAAUAGAAGAGAGUGCUCACAGGUGGAACUUUCUAGACUUGAUGAUGGUGCAGGGACAGCUGAACCUGUGGGCCUGAGCACCCAGCUGCGAGUAAUUGCGCUACAAAUCAGGGCCUGAAUAUAAGUUCCCCCCUGGGGGGUUUGACUUUUGUUUGUUCGGAGAACUGAUCGGUGUGAAGUUGCUCCCCCGGGAUGCCGUCAAGCUACGUUUUGAGCUGGAACAAGAUUGGGAAAAAGAUGGUGGUUUGACCACGAGGAUUGCUCGAGAAUGAAGGGGGACUACUCCGGAUGGGCUGAAAUGGGAAGGCUCCAUCUCAGAGGAGUGUUCUGGCGAUCUACCUGGAUAGGAACUGGAUUCUGCAGUCCUGAGUCAUGGUCAUGAGGAGAAGAGCUGUAAUGCUGUGAUACAGAAUUUCCGAUCUCUAACCUGAGCAGACGUGGCCUGCUUGUCAGCCUGGUCGCAAGGCAGCUCAGAUCCCGGCUUGGAUGCUUCAGGGUCACAGCCUCCAUCAGAUGAGCACAUGGAGGGAUGCAAAGACGGAAGAUGCCUCAUCUGCUGGGAAAUUCAACUACAACUGAAAUAGCUCAUCAUAAGCAAUAGUGAGCAGAGUGAUUACGGUCAAAAACGCAACACAGUGAGUGAGUAAUGCAUGCAGCUCCAGCUCUUCCCUACCUCUUAUGGACGAUGGGAGGUUGAAACAGCUCAUCUUUGAGAACUUUUGUUCCUGGUUUUGGGACACUUGAAAGAGAGCAUCUCCCAGUGGCAAAGAUAAGAGCCCACGUCCUUCCUGUAUCCUGUGGCUAUGCAUUCUCAGCCACAAGAGUCAGCAAGUCCCCUUCCAGAGGGAAGCGAUUUGGACAAUAACAUCUCAGACUGAUGCUGCUAAUCUGCCCUUACCCAAGGGAAGUGGGUGAGGUCAGAAGACGGGGAAAGACUUGUCUGCUGUCAGGAUGAUGGUGAAACUGACGCAUCAAAUAGAGCUGAAUGCUGCUGUAAAGUGCCUAGGGUCCCAACCUGUGGAAAUCGAAGUCUCUGAGGAUUCCUAUGUGAUCAAAGGCUGGAUUUCACUUCUCAAAGAGUCAGCUUUUGAGCAUUCCUUUGUGGAGCUGCAAGAACAUAAAGUCAUCACAGAGAGCCUCGUUAAAAGUGUUUAAUGAGAGCAGUGUGAUCCCACAGCCCAAGGGUCAGCAUGAGAGCAAGGACAGCCCAGAAGCCUCGUCCCACCAGAGCCGGGUAUCAUCAGGAGACCCCAUUCACCGAGGGACACAUUGACUGCUGUCACCAACACCCAGACAGGCACAGGAGACAAAGCAACCCAAGAGAACUGCAGCUGGGUAACAACGCCAGUGCGAAUUUCUCAGCCCAGAACAAGCCAAGACUCACUUCUGGCCAAAAUUCCUGCACUAAUGCUAACCACCAUCUGAUUACAUGAUUUUCCUGAGAUCCUGAUGCAAGUCGUUGUCACAGAAAGGGCUCAUGUGGGCACACUGCAGCCCAGGUUCCCUGCUGCCUACCUCUGCCUCUGGUUGGUCCGGUGCCCCGAGCAGCCCCAUCACCUGUGCUCUGCUCCCUGCUGGAAAAACAUGCUCGUUUUCAAAGGUAAGGGAGUCUUGGGUUACUAGGAACACAAAUCAUUAUGAGUAAAACUGCAUUCCCAAUUUAUUGUAUUUGUUUUAUUUAUAAUUUUAUUACUUAUUCCACAUUUUCCAUAUUUUCCAUGUGUUUCGCGUCAUUCUGGUCCAUUUUGGCCUUGACAUGGAAACUUGGGCUCUUCUCCCUGCCUGAUGUGUUGAAGGCUUUAUAAACAGCCUUGCUUCAUUGUUUGCUCUGCCUGUUUCCAUCCCGCAGGUGUGUGGCUGGAGCUGUGCUUGGGACAAAUCCGAAUGCUCUCUGCCUGGGGAGCAGGAUGGGGCUGAGGGGAAGAAAAGCAGCAGUUAAUGCAGUAAGUGGUGAAAAUUAAGCAAAUUGUUCAAGUGGUGCUUUAACAAAGAACAGUUUGAGACUCCUCUGAUUUGUGGGUUCUCUUUUUCGUGUGAAAGAAAGAAGAGAGAAGGAGAUUUUUCCAUGCAGUCAACAUGUUGCAUGUGCACGGCCAGAGUUCUCGUGAACCAAAAACCAAUUCACUGACUGAGGAAACUCCUCCCCGUGUUGGUUCAUUCCCUGUGCUGCACAUCUGCUUCUGGAAGGUAAUGUCAUGCAUCUGUGUCCAUAGUUAAUUCACUAUUUUCCCCUCUCCUCGAUGCAUAAGCAAGUAUUUGCUUUCCUGCUCACAUCUGACCACAGUCUGUGAGCAAAUCAGGCAUGUUCAGCAAUGCUGCUCUUAGCUGCUCUUCCAAGGUUUUGUGUCAACAGGAACAUUAGGUCAAUUUGCAGACAGCCCCAGAAAAUCUGGUGCAGCAUCUCUCACACUAUUGACAGGGACUGCUUGAAUUCAGCAUUGCCAGGCUAACAGUUGUCAUUCAGCUCUUGAGCAGAUUUGCACCACCACCUCAUCUAUUUUUCAUCAGUCUUGCACCCUCUGUGACAUCCGUGUCAAUCCAUGAGUUCAGUCUGAUUCAGUUCAAUCCCACACAUACCGAGUGUGUGUGCCAUGCUCAGACCUGAGUAAUCACUUGGAUGACAAAAGGAUGCUCAGUUCCUGCAACUGAAAAGAAAAGCCCAAGAAGCAACUCACUGAGUUUGUUCUAGACAAACUCCAUGGCAAUUGGAUGAUCCUUAAGGUCCCUUCCCCAACCCAAGCCAUGCUGUGAGUCCACAGUCAGAAACACAAGCAAAAAAUGUCACUUUUGCUGGCAGGGGAUGGGCAGGAAAAUUGGAUUAGAACAUCUGGUGGGGUUGUUAGCAAAUUUAGUUUGCUACGAAGCUGGCACUCCAUGCUGCCCCUCCUCAACUGUUGUGCUACAUCACCUCCACUUCCCUGUGCUCCUGCCUCGCCCUGUGCUAACCCUGAUGCUGACCUGCCCUGGCUCCCCAUUAGAGCUGCAAUUAGGGGGUGACUCUUAAUAGCGAGGUCUUGCCUCAGAGUGGGGAGAAAUGUUUCUGUAACUCACAUGUGACAAUUAAAGAUAAUUUAAAAUGUAAGUAAUUGCCCUGGGUUUCUGGAAACUACUGUAGAGGUCUUGUCCCAGGCAUCUGACAGGCACGGUGGUGUAUUUUGACAAGUUUUGUGCAGAUUUCCAUUAAAUACCAACUAGCAGCUCUAUUUUCUUUGGAGUCACUGGUCAGGAAAUGGUGAUUGUGAAAGGUCAGGUCUGGAAGGUUUGGGAGGGGAUGGAGGUGUUAUUCACGUUCCGAUCCAUGGGGAUCUGGUUCCAACAUAAAUCUUGCAGUUGCUUCAUCCUUGCUUUCUGCACAGUCUUUCAGCAGGAGAAAGGCACAGGCUGAUCUACAGGGAUCCUCUGUUCAGUUUCAUGGCCCCUGCUGAGAUGCCAGGUGAGGCGGGACCUACAAAAUGCCCCUUGGCAAGCUGGGGAGUCUGAUUUUAGACACCUGGCAAGCAGCAGAAUGUUUGGUUGUAUCCCCAUCCCAUCACAGCAUUGCACUAAGCCUUCUAGUUUGCAAAAGUGGAUGAGAAAUUCCAGUUGGUUGAAGGCUUCUGCAAGGUCAGAGUGUGAACAUCCUGCAGAAUGCACUCAGAUACUUUCAGAGGCUCAGCAGUCCUUGAAAGAGCUUUGCAUCGUGCAAACAAACUGUCAGCUGAGCUUGGAUUCUGCCACAUGUCCUAACACUAAGGAGCCAUCUGUGUACAGCACACUACAUAUGACCUUUCUUCUCCCUCUCCUUUCUUUCAAGUUGUCUCUUUUUUGACCUACAUUUAAGAUACCAAAUGAAUCCCAGCUGAGCACAGAGUUAAAUAUGCAACCCCAUACCAGCAUGUAAAUGAAGAGUCAGUCCAUGUACAGCAUGAGAACAAGUAUAUGGAAACAGAAUAAUCUGAAAAUGGAAAGGGACCCAUUCUGAACAUAGUCACCAUCUUUCACGUUUCAUUGGUCUGGGUUCUUCUCUCAGUUAUGGAGGCUUUUCUCCCAAGUCAUUUCAGGUGGGCCUGGAGGAGGACUUGUCACAAAAAAGCAGAGAGAAACCUGUACCACGUUUCAAAACUGCACUUUUAUUUCUGCUUCCAUAACUGAUUUUCUCAUGUAUGUUCAAAAGCCAGAGAUCACAUCUCUGUACUAUAGAAGUUUUCAGUUUGUGCCAGGGGAUAGUAAAAUUAAAUGUGUCCAGAAGCAGUUGCAUGAUCAUGAGCUCUGCAAGUUCUUACCUUUGUAUGGCUUAUAGAAGACAAAAAUACAUAGGAGAAAUUAAAGCUACAGAAGUCUCACCUUCAUUACUGCUUCCAAGCAGCUGUCUUUCUGGCUUUAGUAAUUCAGACACAUGGGCUACACCACCAAAAAAAAAAACCCACAACCAUCAUGGAACUUCAUAAAGAUCAGAAAUGAAAUCAAAUAUGUACAUAAAAAAAAUAGUUCUUAUUUUUAUCACAACUAAAGUGUUACUUAUGUCACAUACAGGUCAUUACAGAUGAGACAAAAUGACCAGAGCUGGUUUGGGGGCUUUGGUUUUUGCUCGUCAAGAGGCCACUUGAAGCUUUAACUCAGCAUCACUCACUUAUAUUUUGCCUUUAAAGCCAUUGGAGUGCUCAGACCCAGCACAGGGCACAUUGCCAUCACCCAGGUGGGGACUGCAUGCCCCUAACCAAUGUCACCAUGCCCACAUGAUGCCUGGGGCCUCUCCAAAGCAAGGUUUACAUUACCAGCACAGCACUGCCUUCACCUCACUUCCUGGCUCAGCCCUUUUGUAGAGCAUUCCAUGUUGGGCCACACAAGGGACAGAAGGGGGGAAAAACACAGGCAAAACAGAUCUAGCUUUGAAACACCAGAGUCCACAUCACCAAACCCUCUGUCCUCAUCCAUGCAAAACCCUUGUAGGACGCAUGGAGGUAAGCUUUUGAAAGGGUUUUUGAACACAUCAUACAUAGGAAAAUAACAUGCUGUAGAAACUUGGCAAUGAGUUUGUCUCCAGUAGCCAAGUUGGGCAUGGAAAAAAAAAAUUAGACAAUAAAAGGUCAUUUCUAGCCAAGUUUUAAGUGAGUAUACAAUACAUACCUUUUUUUUCCCCCAGUUCCUUGCCUUAGUUAUUGGCCAACUUGGCCAGGAUCUUAUGGAAAACACUGAAAUGGAAUUAUUAUAAUUGUGUGGGUUUUUUUUUCUCUUUUUGACCAAGCAAAAGUUCUUAUAAGCAAUAAUUUAAUUACAGCAAAAGCAUAACACAGACACAGUCUUAAGGAUGCAUCAUCAAAAGAAAAAAAAACCACCAAACUUUAAACUACAGCUACUUCAUGUGUGCCAGUGAGCUAAUACUGCUGCUAUUUAUUAUUUUUCUUAAUUAUUUAUUAUAAAGCCUGCCAUAAAGUGGAAAAUUACCAGUGCUGAUCACCUUUCCAACCAUUCCAGGUGGAAGAUGGCACAAGAACAGUUUUGCAAAGCUGACCUCAAUGAGAGAGUAAAGGAGUGAAGCAUGAGAGUGAAAGGGAAACAAACAAAUCAGAUUUGAAUAUGCUAAGCUAAAUAAAUAACCACAAGCCUGAGAUCAACAGGAAUAUUAUAAGCUGCAGAUUUGGAGCUGUGUUAAACAGGAACAAUCGUUUCCUUUUUGCCACUUACUGAAGGAAGAAGGCCAUUCCUUUCUGCAGAGUUGAUCUGCUACGUUCUCAUGCUCUCUAGGAAAUAUCCUUCCAAGUCAGAUGACUUCUUAGCGAGUGAGGAGAGGAAUAUGGUUUUUUGUUGCAAAAUUUAGAACUCAUUCCAUUGCUGCGUCACCAGCUCAGAUCUUUGUCUCAGCCAUUCCUUUGUCUCUUGCUCAGCCAUGACCCACUGCUCAUCCGCCGGGCUGACAGCACACCAAGUCCUGCCUAAAUGCAAGAACCUCAGAGCAUCAGUAGGACAUCCCACCCAGCCAAAGAACCCGGAGGAAACUUCUAAGCUUGUAUGAGUCACUCAUCAUCUCAAGCAGCAUUAGAAGGAAAUUGCCUUAGGGCACUGUCAUCACCAUUUGUGAGUAUUUGUUGACAGCAAAUGUCUGUGCUACUGUUACGAACCUCAGGCUGGGCUAGGUUUGAACCUAAGAUCACCACUUUUAGCACUUAUACAUUGGCCAGCUGGGCUGAAAAAUGGAGAAUUCAGCAUCACCAGAAGCUGGCAGUUGCCUUAAAGUUAAUGUGCAUCUGCGCAUAGCCUUUGCCAGCAACAAAUGCAGAGUGAUGGGCUUAGCUUAGUUGAGAACAAAGUAUUCUUACAUCCCAAUGAACCUGAAAAGAGGGAGGUGAAAAAAAAUACCAUUACUGAUCUGGAACUAGAUGUUAGCAGGGGACAAAACUGCAAAUAGAUAUGCACACACACACUUCUGCCAUUGUUACACAAUCUUUCACAGCUACCAACAAUCUGCACAUUAUCCCUGAGUCUAGUUCACGUUCCCAUGAUCUGAUGGCAUCACCAGGAGAGUGCUUAUGUGUUCCAGCCAGGGCAAGCAGCACAGACUGGAGGCUUCCCAGGCAAGAAUAAGGUUGAUGCGUGUGUCACCUAAAAGCCCCCCUUCCACAUAUCUCACUCUAAGACAUCUCCCUGAAUUUACUGCCUACAAACCAACUGGCAAGCAGACAUUACAGCUUUUCCUAAAAUUUAGGUGAGCAGCAGCAAGGAGGUGGCUGGGCCAUUGCCUCCCAGCUCUUCCUCCAGGCUGCUCAGCUCAGUCUGUGUAACCUCAUCAGCAUCCUAGCAAAAAGCUAUUUUUGCCUCCUAAACAAGCACAAGAAAAACCUUGGUUGAAGCAGAAUGGAAAAGAGCUUCAUGGCUUCCCUGGAGAAGGGGAAUGCAAGAUGGUGGUUGGUAGCCAUCUAUCCCAUCUGUUGGAGCCUAGACCCAGUUUUGUCUAAAGAUCCAUGGACAAAUUUGAUGUGCUCACAAAGGGUGGCUGAGAUCCUAGCAGAGCUGAAGUUGACUUCAGACCUGGCCAGCCCAAGCAGAGGACAUUGCUGUUGUUUAAAAAUGAUACUCAUUAAGAGCAGAAGUCAGGCAAUGAUCACCUUCUGUAGUUGAUAAUACUCAAGGAGGGAGAUGGUGGAAAAAUGAAACCUUGGAAAAUAAAACUUAUUUGGCACCGCUGAUUAAAACCAGUUUGUGUUUCAUUGUUAAAGGCUGUGUUUGCUCAAGGUUUAUUCAGCUCUGGUCUCUUCCAUCCACAUACGGUUUGUUUUAAUGACUGUGGAGUUAUAUGAAUCUAUUAAUUUUUUUUUCCUGAAAGUUUCAUAACAACAAUGCCUGUUUUUUUCAUACAGCACUUUACAGCCACGCAUCUGGAAAUACAUUGCAAAUAGGCAAUUAGUAUCAGCCCUAUUUUGAAGAUGGAGAUACUCAGAGUCCAAGCAAGACAGCUAUUAAAGAACGGUGCCAAAAUUAGGCCUUUUGCUUCAUCUUGACAAGCUAGAACUACAGCCUCUUGAAGACAACAGGGAUGCAUGAAAAGCAUUUCAUUUAGCUAGCAGUAACUCUGUCUCAGGUUGGACAGACAAGAGGACAGCAGCAAAGACAGACUGACUCAUGCUAAACAACAGAGGUAGGAAGAGGACUUCCAGUAAUGACAGACUUAGGCCACUGCAAGCACUUACUUCCCAAAACCAGUGCUGAGGGAUCCAUCUCCAGUGAAGGGCUGACCAUCACAGGUUCCUGUUUUCUGAUAAGAGCUUGCUGCAUUUUUCCUCUCCACGUUUUUCAGCCUUUCCAGAUCUUCCUGUUAAAGCACAGAGUUGAAAACCAAUAAGAUAAUAUUAUUUGAGGCAAAUCUCUAACCCUUUAAUCAGGCUAUGUGGGAGGCAAGAAAAUGUUAGAUGCAAGGGAAUAUUAAAUUAAUAAUACUAUGUUGAAGUUGAGAUUAGUCAGAUUCCAGAGACAUAUAAUAACUAACUGCUGCCACCUCUGAUAUGGAUGUGUGGAGGCAAUGAGCAGGCUCACAGCAAGGAAGCAGGUCCUGGGCAGGACAAUGCUGCCAGACAUACUGUGGCAGUGCACUCAGCCCUUCACAUAGCUGCUGGAUGUAAUAGAACAGCCCCUGCAAAAGCUCAGAGCAGCCUUAUCCCAAAGUGCUGCACGGUCUUCCCACCUCUCCAUCGCAUCCAGCCCAACCUGGGGUGCUGCAUCCAGGGGUGCCCAGUCCUGUCUGGUGUUCCUGGAUCCCUGCUCACAGGUGGGAUGCUCAGGAGUGUCAGUGAUGGGAGUGAAAAUGAGGUGAACAGGUAAGAAUACAGACACUAUAAAGAAGUGAAGAGUGAAGAAACAUUUGGAAGAAAAACACAAAGGAAUUAAAGAUAUCUAGAGUGAAAGAGAUGGUGAAUGGCCUGAAGGGAGUUAAUGAGAUCCAGAAAUGCAAGUUGGAGAAAUGUUGAUUUUAUUUAGCAUUAAUUGCAGGAAAGAGCCUAUAAAGUGUGGUAAAAAAAUUAUUAAGUACCACUAUGCAAUGCCAGCUUUAUGCCAGCCAUCCCUACGAAGCAGGUGUAUUAUUCCUAGUUCCCUAGGUAUAAAUAAAUAACUGCUUUUCCAUGGUUUUCUUUUUUUUUUUUCUUUUUUAAAUGAUGGCUUUUCAUUAAUUUUUACUGCCAUAUUGUUAUAGUUCUGAUUCCUCCAGAGCAGCUCUGGGGAUCAGUUGGUGCUGGAGUGUGUGUAUGCAGGUUGGUACCUGCGAGCCAUGGGGCACUGCAUGGGAGAUGCAGUGUCUGUGAUCAUAGCACCCCAGGGGUGCAGCCCUGGUCUUCUUGCCCAUGGACUAAACAUGACCUCACCCAUGGUCUGAGCUCUGACAGCAACAUCUGGGUAAAUACAGAAAGGAACCUGAUGGAAAAUGGACAGUUUGAUGGUUGAUGGACAGUUGAAGGGUGAUGCAUUUUGCAUUGAGGGCUCAUACAGCAAAGCCCAGAAGGAACAGACGGACCACGUUACCCAAGAAACCUUUCCCAAGAUUGAGGUUGCCCUGGGAAAGAACAUUCUGAGGGACAUCACCACGAUGCAAGCACUGGUAUCAUGUCAACCCAUUGGUUGUGGUGUUGGCCUCUGGUGUCAGGGACGGGGAGUUGGGCUUCCCAUGCCACCACAGCCAUCCAGCACUCCUGACUGCACACUCCAAGACAAGAAAAGAAAAGGGAAAAUAAAACCUAUGUUCCGUUCCACUUUUAACUUUCUGCUCAUGCCCAUACAUUCCUCCUGGCGUUAUUACAAACGGGCUCCAAUGUUGCCUUUGUUAAGAAUGAGAGCAGAGCACAUUUCCCCGAGCAAUGUUUGUAUCAGCAUUUUCAGGCUCCUUUUAUCGAGUCUCGCACUUCUCAGAGGAGACUCAGCGGGGAGAUGAGCUCUGGAUGCGUUUUCCUAGCAACGUCUCGCUUCAGAGAGGCCACCAAAGACGUUCAGGGAAGCAGUGAUUCCCUGGUAGUGCCUCAGUCCAAGCUCUGACCUGGAACCGUGGGCUCAGCAAAUACACAUAAAUCUUCAGCUCACGUCCAAAUCAUCGCAAGGUUCAGUGAAAAUAGCAAAACUGCCAGUGGAUCUAACCGAAGUUUUAAUCCAGCUCCAGCAUGAUUUAUGGCCUCAGGUGGAAACCAUGAAGCACGAUGGCCUCAGCCCAAGCCAGGGGACGUUCGGCUGCCCCAGCCCUAAGGUGUUGUGUUACGGCACUGAAGAAUCAAGGCUGCAAGAGGCAUGGAUGAAACUGAACAGCACAAACACAUCCCAGCAACGCCUUCAACCUCUGUGCAUCACAGGCAGACCAGACAGAAGAAGAGAAAAGAGAUGCAGCAAAUCUCAGCACCUUAAGCAAGGGUUGCUCAUCACUGGCCCUGAGGUCUCUGAACCAAGAAAACACCACUUCCAAAGGGGCUGCUGCUGGGGAACUGCUCAAAUCUGUCUCUCCUCCCCCUCACCCAUGGCAUCUGUACAAACCAACAGGAGCCCCUUCAGACAGCAGCCAUCCUUCCAGCACGAGUCCUACCUAACAGGCAAGGAGGCUGCACGUGCUGCAGCCCUUGUUUGAACAUCUGCUGUCUCUAAUAGGAACAGCAAGGCACAGCACACUGACAUGGGUUACAAUAGAAGGGCUUUAGAAUUGUGUCUCAUAAUCUACAGCUGGGCAGAAUCUCACUGCUGCCGGUUGGUCCCAUCACCAGCACAACAUCCACCAUCCCACACAAUGUGAUUCUCUAGCCAGGGACUUCAAUGAGGACAGCAUGAUCGUCUAAUUGGAUUUCUGCUCUCAAUUAGGGCAGAGGAAAACCAAAUACAAAGCUGACCUGGAAAGCUUCAGCCAUCUGCACCUACAAAUGGCUAAUCUGCAACCAAGGAGCAUACAACAAGGACACAAAACAUAGUCUCAAGGUGCGCAUUGACUCACCUGCUUCCAACUGAGACCAGAGAUGCACCAGCAGAGCCUACAUGUAGCAGAACGUUACACCUCCAUUCCCUGCAGCACUGGGGUUGAACCAGAAAGAGUCAGUUCAGCUCUGAGCCCUCCCUACCACCAGCAACAUGCUUAGCUGUGAGAUCCACACUGAAUAAGAGGAACCUCAGCAAAAUCCCAUUGGUUUCACCUUGAAAUUAGAUGGAGAUCAGGGCCUAACAAGCAGCUGAAGCAAAGCAAUUACCUAGACCACAUGUUGCCAAUCAGAUGCCAUGUGAGGCUCGUUAUUGCAGCCGAAAGGUUGGAGUGGCUGCUCAAGCAUUUCCACGUGGUGCUGGAAAAUGAGCACCAAAAGAUAAAUGAGUCAGUACAGGAGCAAUAUGAGCUGAUGGCCAGUGCACCCCCCCACACACCUGGAGCUGCAAGGAGAGUCAACCAAAGCACCAGUGGUGGCAUCGCCUCAUUGCAUGACUGCAUGUACUAAACGAUGAAGCAAAGCACUUCUUGCUGCUGCUGUAACACAAGGGCAACGUGCAGCAUUCCCACCCUGUGCUGCUGGCAGCUGAGCCCCGGCACUGCCCUGCAGCGCUCCUCUGCUGGCUGCUGGGCUUCCACGUUAUAGUGCUUAACCAUAUCUUGCCAGCUGAUAAAGGAUCAGGAUUUGCAUAUGUUUGCAUGGCACAUUUGCAUACAUACGGCAAUAAAUUCUGCAGUAUGAACACACCACCAUAGAUGGGUGCAACCCCAGCAGCUCCACGCAACUCCACUCUCAUCCCAGCACCACAUCCCCUAUCCCACAGAGGGAGCAGAAACGAGUGUAACCCUCAUGAUGGCGAACUCCACCCCAUUGCAUAUUGUGCUGAUGCAAAGGAAAAAUGCAUGCUGCUUUUUCCUCCUUCCCCCCAAAAAGCCAAUUCCUCAGCAGCAUCCUCAGAUCCCAUGGGCUGCGGUGGGCGCUCAGCCCUGGGUCACAGCAGGGAGCCCGCCCGCGGCACACCGCGCAACCGCCGGAUUUAUGCCACCUCUCCUAAUGAUCAGCUGUGGACACGGAGGAACUCCCAGCAAUUUCCACCCUCGGUAGACACAGGUUUUCAGCACCGGCUAUUUUUGCUGCCCACAAGUAUUUUCAUUUAGCUGGUUGGAAAUCAGGGCUAUAAACGGAGGAGGUUGGAUGCAGAGCGCAAGCAGCUCCGUCAGAGACCAAAGGAGAUGCUGCCAUUCUCACCCACACGCCGUGAGAUUACUGCCUGGCCUUCUUCCAGAGGGGCUUCCAAGCUGGUUUCUCCUUUCUGCUGAGCAAUCUGGAACCUGACUUUCCUCCGCUGUGUGUUUUCCUCAGUGGUGGAUGGAGGGUUCAGCACAACGUUGUCAGCACUGCUGCUCCAAACGCACUGGAGGGGAGCCCGGUUUUAGGGCGCGUCAGCAGAGAUGAGAAGUGAAGCCCUGGUGGUCACCAGUUCCAUCCUACAGCAAGGCAAAAAAUGAAAUGAAACUUCAUGGAGGUGGCACAAAUAGCAAACAGAGUGGAAAGAACAAAUGCUUAGGAAAAAAAAAAAAAACAACAGCAACAAACCACAAGGGCUGCGAGCAAAGUGGUUAUAGAAAAUGGUUGCAAGCUUAAGUGUGAUUCAGAGAGUCUUGUCUGAGUGUCAGAGGUUCAAUACUAUUGCCUCCAAUUUAAAUCAUUUUUAAAAGAAGUGCAAAAGAAAGGUGAUGAAAGGGCCCUAACGUUGUUCCCUGGUCUGAAAAACACAGCCCACUUGUGCACUGUGGUAAAGUUUUGCAUUUUGGCUAGACAUCGCGUGCAGGGCUGUGCUGAAGCCUUUGCUUAUUUUUAAAAGUUGAAGUCACCGGUGAUCUGUGAAAGGAGAAAAUGCUUUUUCCUUUGAGGAAGAUGCCAUAGGACCAACAUCUCCUGGAGGGGGAGAGUCUGGGGGGGACAUUCCGUGCAUCUGUGCCUCCUGGUCCAACGAAGCACGGGUGAAGACCAGUCCUUGGAGUGAAACCUCCUGUUUUGGGGCUUGGGCUUCCAUAACUGCGCUCCUGUUGCUGUGCAGCAGUGCUUGGGGAUGUUCAGACGCAGACAUUGCAAGCCCGGGCUUUUCCCCAUUGGUGUGUUGUGGAGGGGUGGCAAGGCCGUGGCACCCACACACAAGGACAGGCACACAUCCCCUACGUCUGGGAGCAGUCACCCAACACAAAGUCAUCCCCUUCCCCUUGGAUGUGGGGUGCAGGAUCCAGCCCUGGUUCUCGUCCUGGACAUCCCCAGCCUGGCUGCCAGCCUUGCCUGGGAUUCCUGGUAGGGAGGGCUGAGCCCUGUGCCUCCUCCAAGGUAAAUACACCAGGCUUUGGGCAGUCUACUCCAUGGAGGCUCUUUGCUGCAGCCUGUCUGCUCUGACCAGAUGCUGGAAGUGCUGCGGCUCAAGUAGACAUCAACCUCCUCUUGAAAGCCUGUGGGGCUGCAGUCCUUGCAGAGACCCCAGCAGAGCCAAGGGGACAUCACUGGGAUGUCCCAUGAGGGAUGAUGGGAAGGCAGCACUGGGUGAAUCCAGGAUCCAUUGGCAGGAGCCGAGCACCAAGUGCCCAGCGUUCAUCCCCAUGGUCUUCAGAGCCAGCACGGGGUCAUGGCAAUGCAAAAACCCUUUGCUCACCAAAGGGGAGGUAAACGCCAGGCACUGGCACCAAGAGCCAGGCACAGAGGUCUGAGCAACAGCCACUUCCCUGAUAAAGACUGUCUUGCACAUUUGGAAAAAAAGAUUCCCUGUUUUUCUAUAUUAUUCAGGCACCCAGACAGUUUAGGCACCGAGCUGGGCUUGAUAAUCUGACCUGAGAAGGGAUUGUUUCUGUCCCUGCUCUGAAUCUUAGAUUUUAAACUCAGCGUGAGCCAUUAUUAUCAUCCAUCUCCUUUGUGACACAGGCCAGAGACUUUCACUGCUGUACCAGAGCAAUAACUUCUGGUUAAGCCUGCCAAAAACCUUCUAUGCAGAUAUUCCCUCUGUAUUUUAAAGGAGAGGCAUGCACAAUAAACACCAAUAAACACCUUUUCCUUACAGCAACCUGAUGGAGUUGGGGUGUCUGUGUAUAGGUUUCUACCAAAAGAUGAGUUGAACAAUUGUGUGACUUCUUUUUUUUCCUCUCCUCCUGCUUAUGCGGUGAGUUACUAAUAUCCUGAUUGGAACCAGAUUUGCAUGAAUUAGAAGUCGAAAUUGGAGCAGCAACUGCUGUGCAGAGGAUGUAAAGGGAAUAAAAUGAAUGGGG
rnacentral:lncRNA from 1 species